AUACGAAGGGGGCUAGCGUUGUUCGGAAUUACUGGGCGUUAAAGCGCAUGUAGGCGGACAUUUAAGUCAGGGGUGAAAUCCCGGGGCUCAACCUCGGAACUGCCUUUGAUACUGGGUGUCUAGAGUGUGGAAGAGGUAAGUGGAAUUCCGAGUGUAGAGGUGAAAUUCGUAGAUAUUCGGAGGAACACCAGUGGCGAAGGCGGCUUACUGGUCCAUUACUGACGCUGAGGUGCGAAAACGUGGGGAGGC
rnacentral:rRNA from 1 species